GUAGUAUCUCAUGUUGUUUGAUUGAAGAAUCAUUUUGUUGUUGUAUAUUUGUGAUUUAAUUCUUUUUGCUAUAGAUUAUUUGUACCGUAGGGGGUUGUAAUGUUUUAAUUUAUUUUUAGAAGCUGAUUUUGUUUGUUGUACCUUGUGUAUCAGGGUUCAUUGAAUUUUAUUAUUUAUUUUUAUUUCCCGAUUUUGAAGGAGUUAAUGGUUUAUUUUAGUUAUUGUUUCAUCAAUAUUAAUAAUAUUCUGUUGGUAAUGAGAUGUUAUUCGUCUUUAAUGGUUUCUGGUUUUCCAAGAAAUGAAUUCAAUUCAUGCGUUUUGUUUAAUUUUUACUUUUGUAUUAUUUGUUUUUAUUUGGCGUUAAGAUUAAGGGGGAUUAGCUCCUUAUUUUAUUUUUAUAAUUUAUUUUCUUAUUUAGUUUUGUGGAUUUUAUGGUGAUUUUCAAUUUGAUUAUGUUAAAAUUUUAUUUAUUAUUUUGUUUAUUUCUUUUCAAUUUAAUUUUUAUAUUGGAAUGUUUUCUUUAAUUUUGUCUGGGUGGUGAUUAUUGUGUAAUUAGUAAAUUUCAUUUUGUGUUGUUUAGGUUGAUUGUUAAUUUCUUUUGAGGAAUUCGGCAAAACUUCAUGUCCGCCUGUUUAACAAAAACAUCUUUUCUUGUUAGUUUUUGAAGUAUGGCCUGCCCACUGACGUUUAUUUGUUGAAGGGCCGCGGUAUUUUGACCGUGCAAAGGUAGCAUAAUCAUUAGUUCUUUAAUUGUGAUCUGGUAUGAAUGGCUUGACGAGACAUGGACUGUCUUAAAAGUUGAAUGUUUAGUUGAAUUUGGUUUUUGAGUUAAAAUUCUUAAAUGUUUUUAUGGGACGAGAAGACCCUAUAGAGUUUGACACAUUUAGUCCCUUUCUGUUAUUUUGUUUGUUUGUUUUAUUAAUUGAUUUAUGUGUUUUGUUGGGGUGAUGGGAGGAAUUUAUUUAACUCCUCUUUAUUUUGUAUAUUUGUAUAUAAUUUUUUGAUCCAUUUAUUUUGAUUAUAAGAUUAAAUUACCUUAGGGAUAACAGCGUUAUCUUCCUUGAGAGUUCUUAUUGGCGGGGAGGUUUGCGACCUCGAUGUUGGAUUAAGGUUAAUUUUCGGUGUAGGAGCUGAAAGUGAUUGGGUCUGUUCGACCUUUAAAAUCUUACAUGAUCUGAGUUCAGACCGGCGUGAGCCAGGUUGGUUUCUAUCUAUAAUGUUUUAUUAUACCUUAGUACGAGAGGACCGGGUAUUUGGAAUAAUUUUGUUUAUGUGAUUAUU
rnacentral:rRNA from 1 species